CCUACGGGGUGCAGCAGUGAGGAAUAUUGGUCAAUGGUCGGGAGACUGAACCAGCCAAGCCGCGUGCGGGAGGAAGGUACAGAGUAUCGUAAACCUCUUUUGUCAGGGAACAAAGGCGGGGACGUGUCCCCGGAUGAGUGUACCUGAAGAAAAAGCAUCGGCUAACUCCGUGCCAGCAGCCGCGGUAAUACGGAGGAUGCGAGCGUUAUCCGGAUUUUUUGGGUUUAAAGGGUGUGCAGGCGGUCUGUGACGUCAGCGGUCAAAGCCCGGGGCUCAAACCCGGCCCGCCGUGGAAACUGGCAGUCUCGAGUUGGAGAGAAGUAUGCGGAAUGCGCGGUGUAGAGGUGAAAUGCAUAGAUAUCGCGCAGAACUCCGAUUGCGAAGGCAGCAGGCCGGCUCCACACUGACGCUGAGGCACGAAAGCGUGGGUAUCGAACAGGAUUAGAUACCCCAGUAGUC
rnacentral:rRNA from 1 species